GGGGAUUUAGCUCAGCGGUAGAGCACUUGCCUAGCAAGCACAAAGCCCUGGGUUCGGUCCCCAGCUCUG
rnacentral:tRNA from 1 species